rnacentral:rRNA from 1 species
UAUCUCUGUAGAGUCUGCAUAUCAAUAAGCGGAGGAAAAGAAACUAACUAGGAUUCCCUCAGUAACGGCGAGUGAAGCGGGAAGAGCUCAAAUUUGAAAUCUUCAAGGUUUUACCUUGACGAAUUGUAGCUUAAAGAAGUGUUUUCUGUUGGAGUUUUGGUAAAAGUUCUCUGGAAUAGGACAUCAUAGAGGGUGAGAAUCCCGUAUUUGACCAUUAUUUCCAGCUUUGUGAUACACUUUCAAAGAGUCGGAUUGUUUGGGAAUGCAGUCCAAAAUGGGUGGUAAAUUUCAUCUAAAGCUAAAUACUGGCGAGAGACCGAUAGCGAACAAGUACCGUGAGGGAAAGAUGAAAAGAACUUUGAAAAGAGAGUUAAACAGUACGUGAAAUUGUCAAAAGGGAAGCGUUUGACACCAGUGUUGUUUUCUCGAAAAUCAAUUAAAAAUGGCGGGAUUUUGUGUUGUAUUGACUUUAUCAGCUUUCUGCACUCUUUUCCUGUCUUUUUUAAUGCACUUUUCGUUUAACAAGUCAACAUCAAUUUCUUUUGUUGUAAAAGAGUCAUUGGAAGGUGGCUUUCUUUUCGGAGAAAGUGUUUAUAGCCUUUGGCUUCUGCAAUCGGAGAGAUUGAGGUCUGCAGCGUAGAUCCUUCGGGGUUAGAUACAUUUGUGCUAAGUUAUAGCCUUUCAUAGACAACUUGUUGACUAUGAUCAGUCAUGUAGCUUACUCGCUUAUGCUAUUUUACCUACGCUUAGGAUGUUGAGUCAUCACACAUCUCU